GGAUCACGUGAGGGAGGGGUCGGCCCGGCUCCCUCAGCCGCAGGGCGGGCUGGCGGGAGGCCGCGCUGAGGGAGGAGCCGCCGGCGCCCCUGACCCCCCGGGGCGAACAUGGCCGGGGCUGCGGCCGGGACCUGCUCCCCGGGGCGCUGGGGAGCCUCCCCGCUGCGGGCGGGCGCCGGGAGAGCCGAGGCCAUGGACGAGCAGAGCGUGGAGAGCAUUGCUGAGGUGUUCCGAUGUUUUAUUUGUAUGGAAAAGUUGCGUGAUGCACGUCUGUGUCCACAUUGCUCCAAGCUAUGUUGUUUCAGUUGCAUUCGGCGUUGGCUGACUGAACAAAGAGCUCAGUGCCCUCACUGUCGCGCCCCACUCCAGCUACGGGAACUUGUAAACUGUCGUUGGGCAGAAGAAGUUACGCAACAGCUUGACACACUUCAACUAUGCAAUCUCACUAAGCAUGAAGAAAAUGAAAAAGACAAGUGUGAAAACCAUCAUGAAAAACUCAGUGUAUUCUGCUGGACAUGUAAGAAAUGUAUCUGCCACCAGUGUGCUCUCUGGGGAGGAAUGCAUGGAGGACAUACUUUUAAGCCAUUAGCUGAAAUUUAUGAGCAACAUGUCACAAAAGUGAAUGAGGAGGUAGCAAAACUUCGGAGGAGACUCAUGGAGCUAAUCAGUCUAGUGCAAGAAGUGGAGAGGAAUGUAGAGGCAGUGCGCAGCGCAAAGGAUGAGCGAGUUCGGGAAAUUAGGAAUGCAGUGGAGAUGAUGAUUGCCCGAUUAGACACUCAACUGAAGAACAAGCUUAUAACACUAAUGGGUCAAAAGACAUCACUCACCCAAGAAACUGAACUUCUGGAGUCCCUGCUGCAGGAAGUAGAACACCAGCUACGAUCAUGCAGUAAGAGUGAGUUGAUAUCUAAAAGCUCGGAGAUUCUGAUGAUGUUUCAGCAGGUUCACCGGAAGCCUAUGGCAUCCUUUGUCACUACUCCUGUCCCUCCAGACUUCACAAGUGAAUUAGUACCAGCCUAUGACUCAACCACCUUUGUCUUGGAAAACUUCAGCACUUUGCGCCAGCGGGCAGAUCCUGUGUACAGUCCACCUCUUCAAGUGUCAGGGCUUUGCUGGCGACUAAAGGUUUAUCCAGAUGGAAAUGGAGUUGUGCGUGGUUACUACUUGUCUGUGUUUCUAGAGCUCUCAGCUGGAUUGCCAGAAACAUCCAAAUAUGAGUACCGUGUGGAGAUGGUUCACCAGUCCACCAAUGAUCCUGCUAAAAAUAUAAUUAGAGAGUUUGCCUCUGACUUUGAAGUUGGAGAAUGCUGGGGUUAUAACAGAUUCUUUCGAUUGGACUUGCUUGCCAAUGAAGGGUAUUUGAACAGACAAAAUGACACUGUAAUUCUUAGGUUCCAGGUGCGUUCACCUACCUUCUUCCAAAAGUGUCGGGAUCAACACUGGUACAUUACUCAGUUAGAAGCUGCUCAGACAAGCUACAUCCAACAAAUAAACAACCUUAAAGAGAGACUUGCAAUUGAGCUUUCCCGUACCCAAAAAUCACGAGGAAUGUCACCUCCAGACACUCAUCUUAGCCCCCAGAAUGAUGAUGGUCCAGAAACAAGACCAAAGAAAUCUGGACCAAAUCCUGAGGUACUACUUGAGAGUGUCACCACUCCAGCAUUAGUAAGAGAUGCCAAGGAUGAUGAAGAGGAGAAAAUCCAGCAUGAAGAUUUCAAUUAUGAGCUCUCGGAUGGUGAUCUGGAUGUAGACCUUGCUGGUGAAGAUGAGGUAAACCACCUAGAUGGCAGCAGCUCCUCUGCUAGUUCAACAGCUACUAGUAACACUGAAGAGAAUGAUAUUGAUGAAGAGACUAUGUCUGGAGAAAAUGACGUGGAAUAUAAUAGUAAUAUGGAGCUAGAAGAAGGAGAUCUUCAGGAUGAUGCUGCUGCUGCUGGUGGAGCAUCAGGUAGUAGCCAUGGCUAUGCCAAUGCAAGUGGCAGAUCUUCAAGGCGGGGAGGAAGUACUUUAGGCUCAGCAGCCAGCAGCAGUUUACUAGACAUAGAUCCCUUAAUUUUAAUCCAUUUAUUGGACCUAAAAGACAGGAAUGGGAUGGAAAAUCUGUGGGGUCUACAGCCACGCCCUCCUGCCUCACUUCUGCAGAACAGAGCAUCAUCCUACUCUCUAAAAGACCGAGACCAGCGGAGGCACCAGGCAAUGUGGCGUGUGCCACCUGACUUAAAGAUGCUGAAGAGACUCAAAACUCAGAUGGCUGAAGUUCGAAGCAAAAUGUCUGAUGUAAAAAACCAGCUGUCAGAAGUAAGAAGCAGCAAUGCUGGCUCUUGUGAGGGGCAACCCAGCUUCCUCCCUGGUGAUCAGGGGCCUUUGGCUGCCUGUGGAACAGAAAGCUGCAGCAAGUUACAAGAAAUAGGAAUGGAAUUGCUGACAAAAUCAUCAAUUACAAGCUGUUACAUAAAGAGUUUCACGAGUAAGAAAAGUAAUUCACCCAAAGCUACUCGUUCUGGAGCAGCAGGAAGCCUGUCUCUUCGAAGAGCAAUGGACUGUGGGGACAAUAAUCUUCGCUCAAAGGGAGACUGCCAGACUUCCUCUGAAGGUUCAAUAGGAAGCUCAAAGUCUGGCAGUAGGCAUAGCUCUCCCAGGUCCUUGACUAAUGGUAAUACUCCUGAUGCACUGCCUAAGCCAGAGGAAAAAGAGUGCGAAGGCUCAGAUUCUGAUGUGGGCAUUUCUGCUUUAAACGGCUUAACAACUGUGGAGAAGACAAGAAAAGCUGUCGCUCUGGGGUCAAAUUCUAAAGGAUGUCAUACAGAAGGAACACAACCAACUGAUCUAGAGAACAACUUGGAAACUGGGGAGCUACAGGCCAUUCUCUCUGAAGGCACCUCAGUAGAGCCAGAGGAAGCCCGAGAAUUUCACAUUGGUGUGUCUUGGGAAAGAAAGGAAGCUGAGAACUUUAUGGCUACAGGAAUCUCAUUGCAGCAGGUUCUCCUUUGCUCUUUGCAGCUGGGCUAUGUCAGAAGCACGUCCUUCACCUCCUGCCAGGCAUGAGCAGCGAUAGUGACAUUGAAUGUGACACAGAAAAUGAAGAGCAGGAGGAUGCCUCAUCCACCUCAGAUGCGUUUAAUCAUGCCUUUGAUGUCCAGCCCUCAAGUGAAGUUGCCCCUGCCCAAGGCUGAAAGCCACAGAACAGGUGUAAUGUUAUGGCAUUGUGGGCAGGAUGCAGAGAGCAUCUGCUGAGUACAGCAGGUCCUACGGUCACUGCAAAGCUGUGGUAUCAGAGUGGAGAGCUGGGGAAGAGGCAUGGGAACCUGUGGCUUCAGAUUCACCAUCCCAGUUGUGAGUAAAGGAUACAGCUGCUUUGGGGGCUACAGUAGCAGCCAGCACUAUUAGAGCUGUGUUCAGUUUUUUCUGAAGGUGAUCCAAUAGGCCCUGAAGACCUCAGCUUUGGUACCGGAGAGGACAAUGCAAGGUAGAGGAUUGGCUUGUUGACUGCAGAAGACUUUGAAGAGUUGGAUUAACACUAGCCUGCUUGUGUCCCUGAGAAGAGGCACACUUCAUAAUGCUUAUUUAUUCCAUCUGUAUUUUUCUCGUAGGGUGUGCACGCACUCCAUUGUACUGAAUAUAAAAGAUUAUGUAGUUCUUCCAUGGCUGUUUUAAACCUGUUAAUAGGGCAAGUUGCCCUAUGAAAAAACUUAGCAAGACUGUAUUCUUCAUGGCUUUGGCAGGUUCAAAUGCAGAUUCUGAACAAUGUUCAAAAGGUGCUAGAGCGUUGUUCACAUUUGUCUCUUUAUCAUACGAUUGAAGCAGAGAAUGUUGGGGAAUAGCCUUCCCUUUUUAUUAUUAAUGGUAUGAAAACAUUGUAGUUGUAUUCAUAGGGAUUUAAGCUAUUUAAAGGUAGGGUGAAAGUGGCCUGCACAAGAGUUAGUGUUUUUUCUUCAGUCUCUAAUUUGGACCAACUGAGAACAUUGUUGCCAAACUUUUUACCACUGUGCGUUGCAUUUGAGCAGCUAAAAUGUUUUGUGAAGCUAUAAUGAAAGCUGAAUAACUGGCUAGUGAAAAAGCAUGAAUAAGUGUAUAAAUGUUAGUUGUGUUCUUGUCUCAUCUGACUGUACUUGCUGAAACAUUCGUUUUGUAUGUAAUGUUCCCAGUGUUUAAGUGCGUACAAAUCAUAUAGUUUAGUUUAAAACUGUUUGCACUUUUUGUUAAUAAAAUGAACAUUGAAA